ACAAGCUGUAUUUACUGAACAUAUUACACAGUUAAGAUAUUGGUUUACAAAGAUAACAGAUGCUGAAGUUGCAACUGAUCCCACAAAAUUCAGAAAAAGAUUCUGAUUCUUUUGCAGAUUGUAGCUUUUAUUUGAGUAGCAGUAAAGACUGGGUUUAUUUCAAACACUAAUUUUGUUAAAAAGAAAUGCAAGAUAGGAAUGCAUAUUAAACUUAUUAAACUAAUACCUCAAUAACUUUUGAGGAUAUUGCCUUAUAGAACUGUAUCACCUGAAAUGUUCCUGUCUCUGAGACAUCAAAUUAGACGUGUUUUGGUGCACAGUGCUCGUGGUACUAGUGUAUGUAUGUGGUACCACAGAUUUAUGAUAUGCCAGAAUAAAGGUAAAGCUGCUUAAAACCGCAUUAAUCAUCUAGUUAUGCACACAGCAAUGCAUAUCCCCUGUGGGAGAUAUGUAUAAUAUCUUUGUGUAAUAUAGGACACUCAUGUUUUGCAGACUUCAGACCAUCAGAGAAAUGCUAGAACUGGAAUUCUACAAUGAAAUAUUCCCAAAGAGACGAGAACUUCCAAACCUGGUUUUUUACUUGUAUGAAGAAGUGCUCAUGGGCCCAGAAGGCAGAAGUACUCAUUUAAUUGCUAAAUUCAGGUUUAUAUGUGGAACAGAGGAGUAGACUUGAAAUCAAAACUCUGGAUCCAGACACUGCUGGUAGGGAAAUUCAGACCUUUUGCAGAUAUAGCUACAUGCAUACAACACAUUCUCUCAUGAAUUUAUGCUCAGAUUAUAGGUAUUUACUUGAAGCUUCAAUUACUGGACUAUUGCACUCUCAUUUCCUGUAAGAGUUAGACACUGUCAGACUUUGAAAUGAAACUGUUUCAUGGAAGAUUUAUUACAUUUCUUAUCCUGUGCAUGCCCACUGACAUCAAGCAAUUCUGAGUGUCAGACAGUAGGACUCUGAGUUCUGCUUAAAAACUGUGGGCAAUUUAGUUCCACAGUUGAUCCCAUCUAAAGCAAACCAUGGCAUUAUAACAAAUGAAACAACAACAAAAACAACAACAAAAAACAGCUGUUAUCAAUGGCUGAAGCACAGUUUUGUACCAGACUGUUUACCAAACGAACUGUCCAUCAAUUAGUGGACUAGACAGUAUCUCCAUUUGGCAACUACUAUUUUCUCCUUUCUCUUCUGUAUGAUACCUUUGUGUAAAGAGAACAUUUGCUCCAGGAGAAAGAUCUUUAUCAUUUCCUUCUUACAUUCUGGGACUGAAGACUGCAUCCCCCAACUCCCAGAAGCCUGUGGCAGACAUCAGGCUGUUCAGCAUGUAGAUAGUGACUUUCCACUCUUCCUGGUGAAAUGAUGAUGGCAUAGCAAACACAACAAGAUUCAGGACAAGCAAGAAAAAGUACAAGAAGUUGAUCUUGUAGGUCAGUGAUAUCGGUAAUUCCCAAGCACAGAGAAGACCUAUCUGCUAGACUCUGGUCCUGGCCCACUGGAGUGAGAAAUAAAAGCAAGAAACAAUCCUGACAUUCACCAGUUUCUUUGUUGAGUUGGAGAGCUGAGCCUGUUUAUUUUAGACGUGCAACUUCUUAUUUAGGAAUUUCAGCCUCCUGACAAAUGCUACUGCUUCCAUGCAAUCAUUACUUCAUUGUUUCAUGGCUACAGGUGCACAAACACUGCCAUGCAACAGCAGUAACUACUUAGCUCUGGCAUGAGGCAACAAGUACUCUGUCAGUCAGCUCCUGGACACGAUCCAGAGGAUGGUACAUGGCAGGGUUGGACCCCAAUAGUCAGGAUUGACUAGGUCACCCAUUUUUUUUUAGGGGAAGAGAGGUUAGCCAUAGCUGCCACAUUUGCUCUCAGACUGGCAACUCGGCCCAACGCUACACCCCUUCGCACAGCUCUAGCCUAUGAGACCAAAAAGGGGAGUCCCAUCUUGAACAAACAAGAAGCCUCUGUUGUUUGGGUCUGCUAAAGGCAGCAGACUGAUAAAUACGGAACAGAUGCAAUAAAAAAGAGUAAAAGCUAUCUCAAAUUAUCCUCUAUACUGACAAUCAUAAAGAAAACUAUAUGGAAUUGAACUGUACAUCAACAUACUGAUAAGUAUUUCAGGACCAUGCCUCAGGACUCCUGUAGCUAAGGGUAAAAGGAGAUUUGUCACCCACACAUACAACUCACAUGUGUAACAAUUGUGACAGAAUGUAAUUAUUACAUUUACUUUGGAAAGAAAAGUCAAUUUACUCUGUUGUUAAAAAAAAAAAAAAAGUAAAAUUAAUGAAGAUGUAAUCCUGGUAAUUGCAGAAAUUGGUGAGAAUUCUGAGUUCACUAGGCUACUAAAUUAGAUUAAUCUCCUCAAAAUAUAUUACACUGAAAUAUCUAAUUUCUAUGCAUUUAUGAACAUGUGUUGUAUGGUAUAAUUCUGUUUAAUCUUCAGAGGCCUCUCAGAGGCCUCUAAAUUUAAUCUUAGGCAAAAUGGCAAAGUUUUGCCUGAGUAAAGAAUGCCAAAUAAAGCCCUAAAAAGGGAUUGCUAGGAUCAGAAUUACUUCUUGUUUCCAGCUGCUUUGUUCUGUACUGGUAUUGUAAAGAUGCCAUGAAUUCAGCUUAAUUGGAGAGUUAAGCUAGGUUUACAGCUGUUUUUUUUCUUAUUUGAAGAAGUGCAAAGCAGCUGAACAUUCCAGUGAGUAUGGGCUUUCAUCUGAAUGACAUUUACAUUAGAAAAUCUCCAAAAAAACAGCAUCUAGUCCCAGCUUCCCAUAUUCUUGUAGAAGUCUAAAUGUUUUCUCUUUCUCCUAAUGGUUCUCUUCUAGGACACUUUUCUCUUGCAUUUGUGUUACGACUCAUUGUGUGCAUUAGUUUUGUUAUAAUUGUAUCUGUGAUGAUGCAAGAGGUGUCAAUUUCUGCAUGAAAAAUACAUUUUUCUUAGCUUUGUGGUAGGUAAGUUAGGCUAUGUAAACUCAGGUAGAUAGCCUACUGUGCUUCAAUGUACAUUUCUGUUGUAACAAUAUGCUCACACACUAGUUUGAGUAGAUGAAGAAAACUCGAUAUGGUUUCUCUUCUUCUCAGACAAUAUAGUUAUUCUUAUGCUAAGGUUCCAAUGCAGUUUCUUUCAGCAGGGAGCAGCGUCUUGCCUCUGUGCAAGGCAGCAACUACAGCUGCUGUCUUUUAAUUUUAUUAACCUGAAGUGUUACACUCUCACUGUUUCUUUUUGUGUCAAGCACUGUUUGAAGAAAGUAUGCUUGCUCUGUAAGGGAAGAAAAAGCCUGUAUCAGCAGUGGAUUAUUUACAAAACUGUGGUCAGUUACAUUUAUUUAAGCAUUACUUACUGGUGUUACUUUAUAUUCAUGAAGUAUAUACAAUAUCUUUCACUCUGCAAAUUACCACUACAAUUAAUCAAAUUUGAAUCUGCAAAUGUUAUCAAAUGAUUCUAAGCUAACAGAAGAUUUUUUUGCUCAAUAGAUCAUUUAUGUUUGAAGUCUCUUUCUAUACACCUUAUAGCAGGAUAUGUAAAAAACCCCACGAACACUGCAUUCUCAAGACUGGAUGUUGCAGUCUGGAUGAGCUGAUCCAACUAGAGAUGGCUGAAGAUCCCUCUGGACUGCAUGCCACCUUGGAAAGCACAUCUGAAGAUGAGCAUAUCACUCCUAGAAUUUGAAAGACAUUUGAACAUGAAAUUGAAUGGGUCUGCCUCAGUAAAUAUAGGAGCAUAACAUAAAUAAUCAAAAAAUCUAAAAUGACACAACAAAAGUUACAGGAACGCAGUCAAAAUUUCAACCACGCCUGAAUUAUCCUACAUUCAAAAGAAAGAAUACACAGGUGUAAUAGGAUACUCAGCAUGCAUACCUCCAACCACUAAGAUCAAGCCUAUCAACUACAUUAUAGAAGAGUUUACUUUUGCUGAAUUGUUAUGUUCUGUUUUAGAGGUAUCUUUUCAUCACUGAAGAACACAUCAAAAGAUUUUAGUCUUUGACAUUCUUAUCCAGGAUACGUUUCACAGUCUUUCAUCAGCCACUGAAACUGGAUUAGCACCAGAAAAUGUUUAACACACACUCUAUGAGCAAAGAAGAGACCAAGGGGCCUUUGGCUUGCAAAGAAUCUAUAAAAUGUGAUUAUUAAUUUCAAGGUAUCACACAUUUAAAAUAGAGCUCUUCAGCAUUCUUUAUAACUAAAAUAAUGAAUUGAUGAAGAGCUGAUGAAGAGCCUGCCAGAAGAUAAUGUCAGAAUCCAGAAACAAAAUAGCUCACUUAACAACUGAGAUGGGCUCAUAAAAACCUCAGAACAGAAAUGAAACCCUGAUUUUCAAUUUAAUUUCUAAACACCACACUUGCUUCAAUUUACAAUGUAUUAGAGGAGUGGGUAAAAUUAAUCUUUAAAAUCCUCCAUCCCAUUACAGAAAUGGAAAAUAAAACGCUUACUGGUUUAUAGCUCAGUGGUGAUGGAUGCACGCUAGGCCUCUUCUUAGUAUGUACUGAGCUGUUUUCAAGAAAUGCAUAUAAUCUGGAAGCAAAGCUGACAAAACUAUGUUACUGAAAUUGCCUUGAUGCAAACACUGCAAAGGCUGUUUGUUUACUUGAAGAAGUCAGAGCUGGGUGGUGGAGUUUUAACUACUAAAUUUUCCAGUUCUCAUCAUCAGCAUUAGAUGGUGUAUUUAGUUCUAAAACACAGUUAAAUGUUCCUGGAAAUCUCGGACGAUCCUGUGCUGCAGCUGAAGCCACGAAACACAUCCAGCUCACAAAAUGAGAUACUCCGUGCUUGAAAAUUACAAUUUUUAAAAAGUGAAAUCCUUAAAAUUCUUGAAAUAUUGUCUGUUGAAAUUCUUGGAAAUAUUUGUUUGAAAAGAAUGUAGCUGCAUGUAGAAAAUGGUUGCAAAACUGCUAUAAUUUUGAGCUAGCAACACAUUCCAAUGUAUCAAUAUUGCACACAAUUAUUUUUUAUGAGAAGGCCAUACGAACAUGAUAAAAUUAACAAUUUCAGUGUUUCAAGAAUUAAUUUAAAAUACAUUUUGCAAGGUUCUUUUAGCUAUUUAUACUUUUUUUUCAUCACAGCGUUACAUCGGAACAUUAAAGAUUCUAUCAGAAAGGUAAGAAAGGAAAACAGUUGUGCAAAAUCAGAACAUAAUGUGAGUUUACGGUUGCUCUGUGAUUCACUGUAACGCAUUAUUAAUCCAUAUGUUAGUACAAAUAAAAUAUUUUGAAAAUUGUGAUUUUA
rnacentral:lncRNA from 1 species